AACGAACGCUGGCGGCAUGCCUAACACAUGCAAGUCGAACGAACCCUUCGGGGUUAGUGGCGCGCGGGUGCGUAACGCGUGGGAAUCUGCUCUGGGCUUCGGAAUAACAGUUAGAAAUGACUGCUAAUACCGGAUGAUCUCAUCGGCCCAAAGAUGUAUCGGCUAGGGAUGAGCCCGCGUAGGAUUAGGUAGUUGGUGGGGUAAAGGCCUGCCAAGCCGACGAUCCUUAGCUGGUCUGAGAGGAUGAUCAGCCACACUGGGACUGAGACACGGCCCAGACUCCUACGGGAGGCAGCAGUGGGGAAUAUUGGACAAUGGGCGCAAGCCUGAUCCAGCAAUGCCGCGUGAGUGAUGAAGGCCUUAGGGUCGUAAAGCUCUUUUACCCGGGAUGGUAAUGACAGUACCGGGAGAAUAAGCCCCGGCUAACUCCGUGCCAGCCGCCGCCGUAAGAC
rnacentral:rRNA from 1 species